AAUAAAGGGAGGGGUAGAAGGUCUAGCUCAGUGGUCAGAGCACAUGCUAAGCAUGCAUGAGGUCCUGGGUUCAAUCCCCGGUACCUCCAUUAAAAACUGAAAGAUGAGG